ensembl:lncRNA
AUGGCGGGGAAGCCGCCGGGCCGGGCCCCAGCAGCCUCCCCAGGCCCAACUGGCCACCCAGGGACCCCAGGCAGGGCUUCCCGGAAAGCGCGGGGCGCGGAUGCAGAAGUUGUCCACAGACUGGAGGAGGUGAAGGGCCCGCCCGAGCCAGCCAGGGCUGCCGCAUUUCGGCGAGUCCCCGCCCGGGCGCCCGUCCCCCUCCACCCCGCUCGGCGCCCGCGGGUGCGUCCGAGGCCUCAGGGUUGGAAGGGAGUUGGCCACCAGGUUCGCCCCGCCGCAGAGAGAGCGGCGCGGCGCUGCCAGCCGGGAGGGCGCUCUGCUGAACCCCGGGCCGGCGUCCGAGUGACAACACAGCAGCCCCCCGGUGCCCUCCUCCGCUCCAGCCGUCGCCCCGGAGCAGGACCGAGUGUCACCGCCGGACGCGCACGGAGCUACUCACGUUCUUCCGCCGCGCCCACCGCUCAGCCCCGGCGCGGCCGCCCGGCUCCCCGGAGCGCGGACGUUGUCCGUUCCCGACGGAGCUGUGGCCUCCGGCGGCCCCGCGGUGUCCCCUGCGCCGCGCGUCUGAGGCUCCGACUGCGGCGCGCGUCCGCCCGCGACCCGGGCGAAGCAGGGCUGGCCCCGCGUCGGCGCGCGCCCCCGCCGCUCCCGCCCCUGCGCGCCCGCCCCGCGCCGCGCUCUGCCUCCCGGUCGCUCGCUUUAGCGUCCUACCCCCGCCGCGCUCGCCUCCCCGGCGUCCCCCGCCCUUCCCCGGCUGGCCCGGCCCCUCCCUCCCCUGCGGCUGCGGCGGCGACGAAUGGGCUCAGGCCGCCGGCGCCUCGGGGACCGGGUGGCCCCCUCACCUGGGAUGCCGCGCCCUCACCCCGCCAAGCGUGUGUGGCGGUGGUUGUCGGGGUCGGGGAAGGGGGGGCACGGAGGGGCGGCAGGGAUUUGGCUACAGGAGACGUUCCAGAAAACGGACGGUCUUUAAAUGCCGCUCUCAUGGGUGUGGGUUUCUGUCUGAGGUCUAUGGCCUUUUCAUUUCCUCCUUGGGAAGCACUGAAUUUCUUCGAAACUCACCAGUUGGAUGGCCCCCAGAAAGGGGAGCGAGCAUUCAGUGUAAGGCACCCAGAACCUCCUGUUCCUGAAACCACAGUUCCUGAACCCGUGUUCUCAUCGCUGACUAUGGGGUCUUUGCUUAGUUUCAUACCUCUUCUGGCCCUGAUCUUUACCCACUACCUCUCACCUCUCAAUGACUUGUCCAAAUUUCCUUCGGAAUGA